rnacentral:rRNA from 1 species
GACGAACGCUGGCGGCGUGCUUAACACAUGCCAGUCGAACGGAAAGGCCCUGCUUUUGUGGGGUGCUCGAGUGGCGAACGGGUGAGUAACACGUGAGUAACCUGCCCUUGACUUUGGGAUAACUUCAGGAAACUGGGGCUAAUACCGGAUAGGAGCUCCUGCUGCAUGGUGGGGGUUGGAAAGUUUCGGCGGUUGGGGAUGGACUCGCGGCUUAUCAGCUUGUUGGUGGGGUAGUGGCUUACCAAGGCUUUGACGGGUAGCCGGCCUGAGAGGGUGACCGGCCACAUUGGGACUGAGAUACGGCCAAGACUCCUACGGGAGGCAGCAGUGGGGAAUAUUGCACAAUGGGCGGAAGCCUGAUGCAGCAACGCCGCGUGCGGGAUGACGGCCUUCGGGUUGUAAACCGCUUUCGCCUGUGACGAAGCGUGAGUGACGGUAAUGGGUAAAGAAGCACCGGCUAACUACGUG